CACUCUCUGUAAAACAUAGAGAGCCGUGCCUGCCCAGUGAUCAGUGACAUGAUUUAACGGCCGCGGUACUCUAACCGUGCAAAGGUAGCAUAAUCAUUUGCUCUAUAAUUGAGGGCUUGUAUGAAUGGUUUGACAAGAACAAUACUGUCUCUUAAAAAUUUACUAAAAUUUGGUUUUUAGGUGAAGAAACCUAAAUAAAAUUGAAAGACAAGAAGACCCUAUCGAGCUUAAAAAAUACGUUAACUAUAUAGAAAACUAAAACUAACGAAAAAAUUUGGUUGGGGCGACUAAGGAACAAAUAAAGCUUCCUUUAAUAUAAAAAACUUAUAUGUGUUGAUCCAAAAUAUUUGAUUAAAAAAAUUAGUUACCGUAGGGAUAACAGCAUAAUCUUUUUAGAGAGAACAUAUCGAAAAAAAGGUUUGUGACCUCGAUGUUGGACUAGGAUAUCCUAAUAGAUUGCAGAAGUCUUUAAAGGUUAGUCUGUUCGACUAAUAAAAUCCU
rnacentral:rRNA from 1 species